rnacentral:rRNA from 1 species
GGUGAACGCUAGCGGCAGGCCUAAUACAUGCAAGUCGAACGGGAUCCAGAUCAAAGCUUGCUUUGGUUUGGUGAGAGUGGCGCACGGGUGCGUAACGCGUGAGCAACCUACCCUUGUCAGGGGGAUAGCCCGGCGAAAGUCGGAUUAAUACCGCAUGACAUCAUUGAGAGGCAUCUUUCGAUGAUCAAAGAUUUAUCGGACAAGGAUGGGCUCGCGUGACAUUAGCUAGUUGGUAAGGUAACGGCUUACCAAGGCUACGAUGUCUAGGGGCUCUGAGAGGAGAAUCCCCCACACUGGUACUGAGACACGGACCAGACUCCUACGGGAGGCAGCAGUAAGGAAUAUUGGUCAAUGGACGGAAGUCUGAACCAGCCAUGCCGCGUGCAGGAAGACGGCCCUAUGGGUUGUAAACUGCUUUUAUACGGGAACAAACGUCGGUACGUGUACCGGUCUGAGUGUACCGUAAGAAUAAGGAUCGGCUAACUCCGUG